UGAGGAAUAUUGGUCAAUGGGGGCAACCCUGAACCAGCCAAGUCGUGUGAAGGAUGAAGGUCUUAUGGAUUGUAAACUUCUUUUACACGGGAAUAAAGCGGGGGACGUGUCCCUCUUUGCAUGUACCGUGUGAAUAAGGAUCGGCUAACUCCGUGCCAGCAGCCGCGGUAAUACGGAGGAUCCGAGCGUUAUCCGGAUUUAUUGGGUUUAAAGGGUGCGCAGGCGGGAUGUUAAGUCGGCGGUGAAAUUUUGCAGCUCAACUGUAAAAGUGCCUUCGAUACUGGCCUUCUUGAGUGUGGAUGAAGUAGGCGGAAUUUGUGGUGUAGCGGUGAAAUGCUUGGAUAUCACGAGGAACUCCGAUUGCGCAGGCAGCGUACUAAGCCACAACUGACGCUCAUGCACGAAGGCGUGGGGAUCAAAC
rnacentral:rRNA from 1 species